CCGCCAGAAAACUACGAGCGAAAAGCUUAAAACUCAAAGGACUUGGCGGUGCUCCACACCGACUUAGAGGAGCCUGUCCUAUAAUCGAUACCCCACGCUAAACCUCACCAGUCUUUGCCAAAUCAGCCUAUAUACCGCCGUCGCCAACCUACCUCAUGAGAGAAAAACAGUGAGUUCAAAAGUCCAACAACUAAAACGUAGGUCAAGGUGUAGCUAAUAGAAUGGGAGAGAUGGGCUACAUUUUUU
rnacentral:rRNA from 1 species